ACUACGGGAGGCAGCAGUGGGGAAUAUUGCACAAUGGGGGGAACUCUGAUGCAGCGACGCCGCGUGAGUGAAGAAGUAUUUCGGUAUGUAAAGCUCUAUCAGCAGGGAAGAAAAUGACGGUACCUGACUAAGAAGCCCCGGCUAACUACGUGCCAGCAGCCGCGGUAAUACGUAGGGGGCAAGCGUUAUCCGGAUUUACUGGGUGUAAAGGGAGCGCAGACGGCUGUGCAAGUCUGGAGUGAAAGGCGGGGGCCCAACCCCCGGACUGCACUGGAAACUGUAAAGCUGGAGUGCAGGAGAGGUAAGCGGAAUUCCUGGUGUAGCGGUGAAAUGCGUAGAUAUUAGGAGGAACACCAGUGGCGAAGGCGGCUUACUGGACUGCAACUGACGUUGAGGCUCGAAAGCGUGGGGAGCAAACAGGAUUAGAUACCCGGGUAGUC
rnacentral:rRNA from 1 species